rnacentral:rRNA from 1 species
AUACGUAGGUGGCAAGCGUUGUCCGGAAUUACUGGGUGUAAAGGGCGUGUAGACGGGUGUGCAAGUCAGAUGUGAAAUUCCAGGGCUCAACCCUGGCGCUGCAUCUGAAACUGUGCAUCUUGAGUGUUGGAGAGGAAAGCGGAAUUCCUAGUGUAGCGGUGAAAUGCGUAGAUAUUAGGAGGAACACCAGUGGCGAAGGCGGUCUUUCUGGACAAUAACUGACGUUGAGGCGCGAAAGCGUGGGGAGC